rnacentral:rRNA from 1 species
GAUGAACGCUAGCUACAGGCUUAACACAUGCAAGUCGAGGGGUAACAAGAGAAAAGCUUGCUUUUCUUGUUGACGACCGGCGCACGGGUGAGUAACGCGUAUCCAACCUGCCUAUAACUAGGGAAUAACCUUGCGAAAGUAAGACUAAUACCCUAUGAUUUCCUUUGAUGACAUCAGAUUAGGAAUAAAGAUUUAUCGGUUGUGGAUGGGGAUGCGUCUGAUUAGCUUGUUGGCGGGGUAACGGCCCACCAAGGCAACGAUCAGUAGGGGUUCUGAGAGGAAGGUCCCCCACAUUGGAACUGAGACACGGUCCAAACUCCUACGGGAGGCAGCAGUGACGAAUAUUGGUCAAUGGGCGGAAGCCUGAACCAGCCAAGUAGCGUGCAGGAUGACGGCCCUAUGGGUUGUAAACUGCUUUUAUACAGGAAUAAAGUUAGCCACGUGUGGUUAUUUGUAGGUACUGUAUGAAUAAGGACCGGCUAAUUCCGUGCCAGCAGCCGCCGUAA